AGCAGCCGCGGUAAUUCCAGCUCCAAUAGCGUAUAUUAAAGUUGUUGCAGUUAAAAAGCUCGUAGUUGAAUUUCGGGAUUAGUACGUUGGUCGUGCCUUAGGUACGUACUGGUGUUACUGGUUCCUACCUUCUGACGAACCAUCAUGUCAUUAAUUUGGUGUGGCGGGGAAUCAGGACUGUUACUUUGAAAAAAUUAGAGUGUUUAAAGCAGGCUCGCGCUUGAAUACAUUAGCAUGGAAUAAUGAAAUAGGACGUUGACCCUAUUUUGUUGGUUUCUAGGAUUGACGUAAUGAUUAAUAGGGAUAGUUGGGGGCAUUAGUAUUCAAUUGUCAGAGGUGAAAUUCUUGGAUUUAUUGAAGACUAACUACUGCGAAAGCAUUUGCCAAGGAUGUUUUCAUUAAUCAAGAACGAAAGUUAGGGGAUCGAAGACGAUCAGAUACCGUCGUAGUCUUAACCAUAAACUAUGCCGACUAGGGAUCGGAUGAUGUUAUUUUUAAUGACUCAUUCGGCGCCUUACG
rnacentral:rRNA from 2 species